CUACGGGGCGCAGCAGGCGCGAAAACUUUACAAUGCGGGAAACCGUGAUAAGGGAACUCCGAGUGUCCGUAAAUUCGGACUGUCCGUAUGUUUAAAAAGCAUACGAAGAAAGGGCCGGGCAAGACCGGUGCCAGCCGCCGCGGUAAUACCGGCGGCUCGAGUGGUGGCCACUAUUACUGGGCUUAAAGCGUUCGUAGCUUGGUUGUUAAGUCUCUUGGGAAAUCUAUCGGCUUAACCGAUAGGCGUCCAGGGGAUACUGGCAAUCUAGGGACCGGGAGAGGUGAGGGGUACUUCAGGGGUAGGAGUGAAAUCCUGUAAUCCUUGGGGGACCACCUGUGGCGAAGGCGCCUCACCAGAACGGCUCCGACAGUGAGGGACGAAAGCUGGGGGAGCAAACCGGAUUAGAUACCCGGGUAGUCCCAGCCGUAAACGAUGCACGUUAGGUGUAUCGAUGACCACGAGUCAUCGAGGUGCCGAAGGGAAACCGUGAAGCGUGCCGCCUGGGAAGUACGGUCGCAAGGCUGAAACUUAAAGGAAUUGGCGGGGGAGCACCACAACAGGUGGAGCCUGCGGUUUAAUCGGACUCAACGCCGGAAAUCUCACCGGAUAAGACAGCUGAAUGAUAGUCGGACUGAAGACUCUACUUGACUAGCUGAGAGGAGGUGCAUGGCCGUCGUCAGUUCGUACUGUGAAGCAUCCUGUUAAGUCAGGCAACGAGCGAGACCCACGCCAACAGUUGCCAGCAUGUCCUCCGGGAUGAUGGGGACACUGUUGGGACCGCCUCUGCUAAAGAGGAGGAAGGAAUGGGCAACGGUAGGUCAGCAUGCCCCGAAUUAUCCGGGCUACACGCGGGCUACAAUGGGCAGGACAAUGGGUAUCGACACCGAAAGGUGAAGGCAAUCUCCUAAACCUGUCCUAAGUUCGGAUUGCGGGUUGCAACUCGCCCGCAUGAAGCUGGAAUCUGUAGUAAUCGCGUCUCAAAAUGGCGCGGUGAAUAUGUCCCUGCUCCUUGCACACACCGCCCGUCAAACCACCCGAGUGGGGUCUUGAUGAGGCUGCGGUUUAUGCCGUGGUCGAAUCUAGGUUCCGCAAGGGGGGUUAAGUCGUAACAAGGUAGCCAAGGGCGAAUUCGCGGC
rnacentral:rRNA from 1 species